rnacentral:rRNA from 1 species
GGGUUGUGAGGUUAAGCGACUAAGCGUACACGGUGGAUGCCACGGCAGUCAGAGGCGAUGAAGGACGUGCUAAUCUGCGAUAAGCGUCGGUAAGGUGAUAUGAACCGUUAUAACCGGCGAUUUCCGAAUGGGGAAACCCAGUGUGAUUCGUCACACUAUCAUUAACUGAAUCCAUAGGUUAAUGAGGCGAACCGGGGAACUGAAACAUCUAAGUACCCCGAGGAAAAGAAAUCAACCGAGAUUCCCCAGUAGCGGCGAGCGAACGGGGAGGAGCCCAGAGCCUGAAUCAGUGUGUGUGUUAGUGGAAGCGUCUGGAAAGGCGCGCGAUACAGGGUGACAGCCCGUACACAAAAUGCACAUGCUGUGAGCUCGAUGAGUAGGGCGGGACACGUGGUAUCCUGUCUGAAUAUGGGGGACCAUCCUCCAAGGCUAAAUACUCCUGACUGACCGAUAGUGAACCAGUACCGUGAGGGAAAGGCGAAAAGAACCCCGGCGAGGGGAAAAAAAAGAACCUGAAACCGUGUACGUACAAGCAGUGGGAGCCUCUUAAUGGGGUGACUGCGUACCUUUGUAUAAUGGGUCAGCGACUUAUAUUCUGUAGCAAGGUUAACCGAAUAGGGGAGCCGAAGGGAAACCGAGUCUUAACUGGGCGUUAAGUUGCAGGGUAUAGACCCGAAACCCGGUGAUCUAGCCAUGGGCAGGUUGAAGGUUGGGUAACACUAACUGGAGGACCGAACCGACUAAUGUUGAAAAAUUAGCGGAUGACUUGUGGCUGGGGGUGAAAGGCCAAUCAAACCGGGAGAUAGCUGGUUCUCCCGAAAGCUAUUUAGGUAGCGCCUCGUGAAUUCAUCUCCGGGGUAGAGCACUGUUUCGGCAAGGGGUCAUCCCGACUUACCAACCCGAUGCAAACUGCGAAUACCGGAGAAUGUUAUCACGGGAGACACACGGCGGGUGCUAACGUCCGUCGUGAAGACAACCCAGACCGCCAGCUAAGGUCCCAAAGUCAUGGUUAAGUGGGAAACGAUGUGGGAAGGCCCAGACAGCCGGAUGUUGGCUUAGAAGCAGCCAUCAUUUAAAGAAAGCGUAAUAGCUCACUGGUCGAGUCGGCCUGCGCGGAAGAUGUAACGGGCUAAACCAUGCACCGAAGCUGCGGCAGCGACACUAUGUGUUGUUGGGUAGGGGAGCGUUCUGUAAGCCUGUGAAGGUGGCCUGUGAGGGUUGCUGGAGGUAUCAGAAGUGCGAAUGCUGACAUAAGUAACGAUAAAGCGGGUGAAAAGCCCGCUCGCCGGAAGACCAAGGGUUCCUGUCCAACGUUAAUCGGGGCAGGGUGAGUCGACCCCUAAGGCGAGGCCGAAAGGCGUAGUCGAUGGGAAACAGGUUAAUAUUCCUGUACUUGGUGUUACUGCGAAGGGGGGACGGAGAAGGCUAUGUUGGCCGGGCGACGGUUGUCCCGGUUUAAGCGUGUAGGCUGGUUUCCGUGCAAAUCCGGAAAACCAAGGCUGAGGCGUGAUGACGAGGCACUACGGUGCUGAAGUGACAAAUGCCCUGCUUCCGUGAAAGCCUCUAAGCAUCAGGUAACAUCAAAUCGUACCCCAAACCGACACAGGUGGUCAGGUAGAGAAUACCAAGGCGCUUGAGAGAACUCGGGUGAAGGAACUAGGCAAAAUGGUGCCGUAACUUCGGGAGAAGGCACGCUGAUAUGUAGGUGAAGCGACUUGCUCGUGGAGCUGAAAUCAGUCGAAGAUACCAGCUGGCUGCAACUGUUUAUUAAAAACACAGCACUGUGCAAACACGAAAGUGGACGUAUACGGUGUGACGCCUGCCCGGUGCCGGAAGGUUAAUUGAUGGGGUUAGCGGUAACGCGAAGCUCUUGAUCGAAGCCCCGGUAAACGGCGGCCGUAACUAUAACGGUCCUAAGGUAGCGAAAUUCCUUGUCGGGUAAGUUCCGACCUGCACGAAUGGCGUAAUGAUGGCGGGCUGUCUCCACCCGAGACUCAGUGAAAUUGAACUCGCUGUGAAGAUGCAGUGUACCCGCGGCAAGACGGAAAGACCCCGUGAACCUUUACUAUAGCUUGACACUGAACAUUGAGCCUUGAUGUGUAGGAUAGGUGGGAGGCUUUGAAGUGUGGACGCCAGUCUGCAUGGAGCCGACCUUGAAAUACCACCCUUUAAUGUUUGAUGUUCUAACGUUGGCCCCUAAUCGGGGUUGCGGACAGUGUCUGGUGGGUAGUUUGACUGGGGCGGUCUCCUCCUAAAGAGUAACGGAGGAGCACGAAGGUUGGCUAAUCUGGUCGGACAUCAGGAGGUUAGUGCAAUGGCAUAAGCCAGCUUGACUGCGAGCGUGACGGCGCGAGCAGGUGCGAAAGCAGGUCAUAGUGAUCCGGUGGUUCUGAAUGGAAGGGCCAUCGCUCAACGGAUAAAAGGUACUCCGGGGAUAACAGGCUGAUACCGCCCAAGAGUUCAUAUCGACGGCGGUGUUUGGCACCUCGAUGUCGGCUCAUCACAUCCUGGGGCUGAAGUAGGUCCCAAGGGUAUGGCUGUUCGCCAUUUAAAGUGGUACGCGAGCUGGGUUUAGAACGUCGUGAGACAGUUCGGUCCCUAUCUGCCGUGGGCGCUGGAGAACUGAGGGGCUGCUCCUAGUACGAGAGGACCGGAGUGGACGCAUCACUGGUGUUCGGGUUGUCAUGCCAAUGGCACUGCCCGGUAGCUAAAUGCGGAAGAGAUAAGUGCUGAAAGCAUCUAAGCACGAAACUUGCCCCGAGAUGAGUUCUCCUGAGACUUAGAGUCUCCUGAAGGAACGUUGAAGACGACGACGUUGAUAGGCCGGGUGUGUAAGCGCAGCGAUGCGUUGAGCUAACCGGUACUAAUGAACCGUGAGGCUUAACCUUACAACGCCGAAG